UACGUAGGUGGCAAGCGUUAUCCGGAUUUACUGGGUGUAAAGGGCGUGUAGGCGGGACUGCAAGUCAGAUGUGAAACCCAUGGGCUCAACCCAUGGCCUGCAUUUGAAACUGUAGUUCUUGAGUGAUGGAGAGGCAGGCGGAAUUCCGUGUGUAGCGGUGAAAUGCGUAGAUAUACGGAGGAACACCAGUGGCGAAGGCGGCCUGCUGGACAUUAACUGACGCUGAGGCGCGAAAGCGUAGGGAGCAAACAGG
rnacentral:rRNA from 1 species